UACAGCCCUUGGGCCUUCCUUACUGUAAACUAGGCAUUGCUAAUAUGCAGACUGUUAUCUUAGCAUUCGCCAUUAGAACAUUUCCUUCCUCCCAAGCGCCAUUUUUACCUUACUUUAAAAAGUAAAUAAUGGGCAGUCCGGAGCAAUCGAUCGAGGUAGAGGCUGUUGGACGGCAGGAGCAGAGCAAUGCCUAAAUCAAAGGAACUUGUUUCUUCAAGCUCUUCAGGCAGUGAUUCUGACAGCGAAGUUGAAAAAAAGUUAAAGAGGAAAAAGCAAGUUGUUCCAGAGAAACCUGUGAAGAAGCAGAAGCCUGGUGAGACUUCUAGAGCUCUGGCAUCCUCCAAGCAGAGCAGCAGCAGCAGAGAUAAUAACAUGUUUCAGAUUGGAAAGAUGAGAUAUGUCAGUGUUCGGGACUUUAAAGGAAAAAUUCUAAUUGAUAUUAGAGAAUAUUGGAUGGACUCAGAAGGUGAAAUGAAACCAGGGAGAAAAGGUGUUUCUUUAAACAUGGAACAGUGGAGCCAGCUGAAGGAACAGAUCUCUGACAUAGAUGACGAAGUAAGAAAGCUGUAAAGUCUGAGCCAUACCAACCCUGUACUGUUGCAGUUGUUUUAAUCUGUCUUUUUACAUUGGCUUUUGUUUUCUAAAUGUUGUUUUCCAAGCUGUUGUAUAUUUGGAUUGCAGAACAAUUUGUAAGACAAAUACUUUUUUUAAUGUGCAUUAUUAAAAUGUUCUA